AUUGAACGCUGGCGGCAGGCCUAACACAUGCAAGUCGAGCGAGCGGCGGACGGGUGAGUAAUGCCUAGGAAUCUGCCUGGUAGUGGGGGAUAACGUCCGGAAACGGGCGCUAAUACAGCAUACCAUCAGAUGUGCCGAGAUGGGAUUAGCUAGUUGGUGGGGUAACGGCUCACCAAGGCGACGAUCCCUAGCUGGUCUGAGAGGAUGACGAGCCACACUGGAACUUAGACACGGUCCAGACUCCUACGGGCGGCAGCAGGGGGGAAUAGUGCACAAUGGGCGCAAGCCUGAUGCAGCCAUGCCGCGUGUAUGAAGAAGGCCUUCGGGUUUUAAAGUACUUUCAGCGGGGAGGCGUUACCCGCAGAAGAAGCACCGGCUAACUCCGUGCCAGCAGCCGCGGUAAUUC
rnacentral:rRNA from 1 species